AUAUCAGUCAUGCAUAGCAUAUCAAUAAGCGGAGGAAAAGAAACUAACAAGGAUUCCCCUAGUAACGGCGAGUGAAGCGGGAAGAGCUCAAAUUUGAAAUCUUAAAGGGUUUCCCUUUACGAAUUGUAGUUUAAAGAAGUGUUUUCUGUUGAGGUUUUGGUAAAAGUUCUUUGGAAUAGGACAUCAUAGAGGGUGAGAAUCCCGUAUUUGACCUUUACUUUCAACUUUGUGAUACACUUUCAAAGAGUCGGAUUGUUUGGGAAUGCAGUCCAAAAUGGGUGGUAAAUUUCAUCUAAAGCUAAAUAUUGGCGAUGAGACCGAUAGCGAACAAGUACCGUGAGGGAAAGAUGAAAAGAACUUUGAAAAGAGAGUUAAACAGUACGUGAAAUUGUCAAAAGGGAAGCGUUUGACACCAGUGUUGUUUUUCUGAAAAUCAAUUAAAGAACUGUUUAUGCUAAGUUGUUUAGACUUUAUCAGCUAACUGUUUAGUUUUGAGCUUUUCUUUAAUGCACUUUUCAGUUAACAAGUCAACAUCAAUUUCUUUUGCUGUAAAAAAGCUUGAGGAAGGUGGCUUGAGAUUCGUCUUAAGUGUUUAUAGCCUCUUGCCUAUGCAGUCGGAGAGAUUGAGGUCUGCAGCGUAGAUCCUUCGGGGCUAAAUGCAUUUGUGCUAAGGUUAUAGCAUUUUAUAGACAACUUGUUGACUAUGAUUUGUCUUGUAGCUUACUCGCUUAUGUUAUUUUACCUACGCUUAGGAUGUUGACGCGCGUGUGUGCGUG
rnacentral:rRNA from 1 species